rnacentral:rRNA from 1 species
GUCCGCCAGAGAACUACAAGCGAAAAGCCUAAAACUCAAAAGACUUGGCGGUGCCCCACACCCGACUUAGAGGAGCCUGUCCUAUAACCGAUAAUCCACGAUAAACCCGACCGCUUUUUGCCCAACCCAGCCUAUAUACCGCCGUCGCAAACCUACCUCACAAGAGAACCAUCGUAGGUAAAAUAGUCCAACACUAAAACGUCAGGUCAAGGUGUAGCUAAUAAAGCGGAAGAGAUGGGCUACAUUCUUUAACGCUAAAGCAAAACAAAAAGAACCCUGAAAAGUCUUCCAAAAGGUGGAUUUAACAGUAA